GUGCCAGCAGCCGCGGUAAUACCGGCAGCUCAAGUGAUGUCCCAUAUUAUUGGGCCUAAAGCGUCCGUAGCUGGCCGACCAAGUCUCCCGGGAAAUCCACCCGCCCAACGGGUGGGCGUCCGGUGGAAACUGCGUGGCUUGGGACCGGAAGGCGCGACGGGUACGUCCGGGGUAGGAGUGAAAUCCCGUAAUCCUGGACGGACCGCCGAUGGCGAAAGCACUCUGAGAAGACGGCUUCGACAGUGAGGGACGAAAGCUCGGGUCUCAAACCGGAUUAGAAACCCGGGUAGUCC
rnacentral:rRNA from 1 species